GCAGCAGCCGCGGGAAUACGAAGGGUGCAAGCGUUAAUCGGAAUUACUGGGCGUAAAGCGUGCGUAGGCGGUUUGUUAAGUCUGCUGUGAAAUCCCCGGGCUCAACCUGGGAAUGGCAGUGGAUACUGGCAAGCUAGAGUGUGUCAGAGGAUGGUGGAAUUCCCGGUGUAGCGGUGAAAUGCGUAGAGAUCUGGAGGAAUACCGAUGGCGAAGGCAGCCAUCUGGCCUAAUACUGACGCUGAGGUACGAAAGCAUGGGGAGCAAACAGGAUUAGAUACCCCUGUAGUCCCUGUCUCUUAUAC
rnacentral:rRNA from 1 species